rnacentral:rRNA from 1 species
GAUGAACGCUAGCGGCAGGCUUAAUACAUGCAAGUCGAGGGGUAGCAAGAUUGUAGCAAUACAAUUGUUGACGACCGGCAAGCGGGUGCGGAACACGUACACAACCUUCCUACAAGUGGGGAAUAGCCCAGAGAAAUUUGGAUUAAUACCCCGUAACAUAGUGAUGUGGCAUCACAUUGCUAUUAUAGCUUCGGCGCUUGUUGAUGGGUGUGCGGCUGAUUAGAUAGUUGGCGGGGUAACGGCCCACCAAGUCUACGAUCAGUAGCUGAUGUGAGAGCAUGAUCAGCCACACGGGCACUGAGACACGGGCCCGACUCCUACGGGAGGCAGCAGUAAGGAAUAUUGGACAAUGGACGCAAGUCUGAUCCAGCCAUGCCGCGUGAAGGAUUAAGGUCCUCUGGAUUGUAAACUUCUUUUAUAAGGGACGAAAAAAGGUCUUUCUAGAUCGUCUGACGGUACCUUAUGAAUAAGCACCGGCUAACUCCGUGCCAGCAGCCGCGGUAAUAC